rnacentral:lncRNA from 1 species
CACCUACCCACCUGUGUCGGUUUCGGGUAGAGGUACCCUCUUGCUCAAAGUCUUUCGAGCUUUUCCUGGAAGUAUGGCAUGGGUUACUUCAGCGCCGUAGCGCCUGGUAUUCGAACAAUAACUUAGCCUCCUCCGUCCCUCGGGACCAAAAAGGGGCAGGCCGAAAGGCGUAAUCGAUGGACAACAGGUGAAUAUUCCUGUACUGCCCCUUGUUGGUCCUGAGGGACGGAGGAGGCUAGGUUAGCCGAAAGAUGGCUAUCGGUUCAAGAACGUAAGGUGUCCCUGCUUUGUCAGGGUAAGAAGGGGUAGAGAAAAUGCCUCGAUCCAAUGUUCGAAUACCAGGCGCUACGGCGCUGAAGUAACCCAUGCCAUACUCCCAGGAAAAGCUCGAACGACUUUGAGCAAGAGGGUACCUGUACCCGCCCCUUGUUGGUCCUGAGGGACGGAGGAGGCUAGGUUAGCCGAAAGAUGGUUAUCGGUUCAAGAACGUAAGGUGUCCCUGCUUUGUCAUGGUAAGAAAGGGUAAACAAAAUGCCUCGAGCCAAUGUUCGAAUACCAGGCGUUACGGCGCUGAAGUAACCCAUGCCAUACUCCCAGGAAAAGCUCGAACGAAUUUGAGCGAAGAGGGUAC